rnacentral:rRNA from 1 species
UACGUAGGGCGCAAGCGUUGUCCGGAAUUAUUGGGCGUAAAGAGCUCGUAGGCGGCUUGUCACGUCGGAUGUGAAAGCCCGGGGCUUAACCCCGGGUCUGCAUUCGAUACGGGCUAGCUAGAGUGUGGUAGGGGAGAUCGGAAUUCCUGGUGUAGCGGUGAAAUGCGCAGAUAUCAGGAGGAACACCGGUGGCGAAGGCGGAUCUCUGGGCCUGUCCUGACGCUGAGGCGCGAAAGCUAGGGGAGCGAGCAGG